CGGGUGAGCGGCGGACGGGUUAGUAACGCGUGGGAACGUGCCCUUCUCUACGGAAUAGCCUCUGGAAACGGAGAGUAAUACCGUAUACGCCCUUUGGGGGAAAGAUUUAUCGGAGAAGGAUCGGCCCGCGUUAGAUUAGGUAGUUGGUGGGGUAAUGGCCUACCAAGCCUACGAUCUAUAGCUGGUUUUAGAGGAUGAUCAGCAACACUGGGACUGAGACACGGCCCAGACUCCUACGGGAGGCAGCAGUGGGGAAUCUUAGACAAUGGGGGCAACCCUGAUCUAGCCAUGCCGCGUGAGUGAUGAAGGCCUUAGGGUCGUAAAGCUCUUUCGCCUGUGAUGAUAAUGACAGUAGCAGGUAAAGAAACCCCGGCUAACUCCGUGCCAGCAGCCGCGGUAAUACGGAGGGGGUUAGCGUUGUUCGGAAUUACUGGGCGUAAAGCGCGCGUAGGCGGAUUAGAAAGUUGGGGGUGAAAUCCCGGGGCUCAACCUCGGAACUGCCUCCAAAACUGCUAGUCUAGAGUUCGAGAGAGGUGAGUGGAAUUCCGAGUGUAGAGGUGAAAUUCGUAGAUAUUCGGAGGAACACCAGUGGCGAAGGCGGCUCACUGGCUCGAUACUGACGCUGAGGUGCGAAAGUGUGGGGAGCAAACAGGAUUAGAUACCCUGGUAGUCCACACCGUAAACGAUGAAUGCCAGUCGUCGGGUAGUAUACUAUUCGGUGACACACCUAACGGAUUAAGCAUUC
rnacentral:rRNA from 1 species